CGUAUUCCAAACAUUUUGGUAUGAUGUGUCUUUAUGUUCUUCUCUUUCAGAACUAUUUAAAUCAUGGAUGAACAAAACAUGCAAGUGAAUGCUUCUCACUCAGGAAAAGUUUUGCCAGCUGGGCAUCCCCCUUAAGUAUCCAUCGGCUGCAUUUCAAGAAAUUGGCAAUAAACUCCCUGAGAGCAGGUUGACUCACUGAUAGCUGUACUCACAUAUGGAUGCAUCAAUUUUGUCAUAAAUUUCCCAUUUAAAAGUAUUUAUAAUUGUCCAUUCUAAGUAUUAAAUUUUUCAUGGCCUUUAAUGCUAAAGUAUUGUGGAACACAGUUCUUUGAAAUUAUAUUCUAUUCAUAUGGAAUUGCUACUCUGUGGACUAUACAAAUAAACUUAUGAAGCUUCAUUGCAAUCACACAUUUACAGGACCUCCAGGACUUACUGGCUACCCUGGACCCCAGCCUGGCUACCCUGGACCCCAGCCUGGCUAUCCAGUUCUACCAGCCAGCUAUUCAGGUGCUGGACCAGCCGGCUUUUUUGUCCAAAGUCAGCCACUAUAUAAUCAGCCUGGUGGACCUGCAGGGGCACCAUGGAUGCCAGCACCACCACCUCCACUGAACUGUCUACCUGGAUUGGAAUAUUUAAGUCAGGAAUACAGUUCUCAUAGAGGCAGAAACUCACGAGCAUGGGUAUGGAUCUCUGAAUCUAGUAAGAAGAAGCGCAUUUUGAGGAGAUAGCCCCAUGCUGGGUUCUGCUGGUGAUGGACGGGGCAGGAUCUCCACUCCAAAUGCCGUGCUGAAGAGAUGAAAUGCGAAUCGUCCCCUGGUUACAGCUGCUCCGCAAGCCCUGGGCUACCAGGCAGCAGUGGCCGGUGGCGCCAUCCAGAGUCCUCACUAUUCCUCCCGAAUGUGGGCUCCAGACAGUCGUGACAGAAGAUGCUCAUCUGAUGUCACUACGGCAGUUAUUAGAGAACUCCCCAUUCCAGUGACAUCAGCAGCACCAAAAAUGAGAAAAUGAAGGCAGUGUUUUCCUGGCAGAGCUCAUCUCAGAAUGAAGUGUUGUGUGUAAUGCUGAACAGUCUGGAAGACUGGCUUUGCACCCUGGCCUUCUGCCAUGACCACACUGGUCAAAACAGAGGAUCUAUGGAACCAACCUCAUCCUCCUAUGCUCCUCAGGACCUACACUGAUGCCUGACAAGGACUGAUGAGGAUACCCCAGCGAUCACUCUUCAGCUGAAAACCUUCCCAUCCCCACCUCCUGCAAAUGCACUCAACAAAGCUACCUUCCCCGAAGGAGGCACAAAUAUUCUGCAUCUGGGCUUUGAAGCCGUUCCCAACCAAAGGCUUGUUGGGGAGAGAAAUUGUGAUGCUUCCAAUGGAUUGUUUAUGCACAUUCCUAAUGCCAACAAGACACUUCUGCCUGCCCCACUUUUUUUGCUCUUUUCAUUUUGAGUCGACAGGGAGUUCCAGAGAUCAAUUCCUCCCACCCCCUUUUGUUGCUACAACUGCAUUUUCUGGUCACAUAUUCUUCCGAGACUAUCCUCUCCCAACUCCACACCUCCCAGUCUUACAAACAGGUGGAGGGCGGUGCAGAUUCUUAUCUCGUCUCCUGAUUAAGGGGUUGCUGAGUCAACAGAGAUCUUGUCCACAAGGCCUCUUUACCAAGGGAUUCUAGUUAGUUUCUAGGAGCAACCUGCCACACCCCCUCAGUGUGACGAGGGCUCCUGGAGGGGAGGAGGACAGCCUCUUUGGGGUGAAGAGGUAGUGGUGGUGUUAGGGCUUUCUACAGGGACCUCCCAAGCAGGACCCGACACACUCUUGCCCCUUCUUCUCUUCUUCUUUUUCUACUUAGAAUAUCUUGGACGUUAUUCCUUACUGGUACACACAAAGCUGAAAGAAAGUGAGCCGAGAUGCCGGGUACCGAUCAAGCUUUAUUAAAGGAAAAGAAUCUGC